GACAGAGGGGGCAAGCGUUGCUCGGAAUCACUGGGCGUAAAGGGCGCGUAGGCGGGAUGGCAAGUCGGUCGUGAAAUCCUUCGGCCCAACCGAAGAACGUCGGCCGAUACUGCCGUUCUUGAGGGAUGCAGAGGAGACUGGAAUUCCCGGUGUAGCGGUGAAAUGUGUAGAGAUCGGGAGGAACACCGGUGGCGAAGGCGGGUCUCUGGGCAUUUCCUGACGCUGAGGCGCGAAAGCGUGGGGAGCGAUCCGG
rnacentral:rRNA from 1 species